rnacentral:rRNA from 1 species
CGGGACGGGUGAGUAAUGUCUGGGAAACUGCCCGAUGGAGGGGGGUAACUACUGGAAACGGUAGCUAAUACCGCAUAACGUCGCAAGACCAAAGAGGGGGACCUUAGGGCCUCUUGCCAUCGGAUGUGCCCAGAUGGGAUUAGCUAGUAGGUGGGGUAAUGGCUCACCUAGGCGACGAUCCCUAGCUGGUCUGAGAGGAUGAUCAGCCACACUGGGACUGAGACACGGCCCAG